rnacentral:rRNA from 1 species
CCUACGGGCGGCAGCAGUGAGGAAUCUUGGUCAAUGGACGCAAGUCUGAACCAGCCAUGCCGCGUGCAGGAAGACGGCUCUAUGAGUUGUAAACUGCUUUUGUACGAGGGUAAACGCAGAUACGCGUAUCUGUCUGAAAGUAUCCUACGAAUAAGGAUCGGCUAACUCCGUGCCAGCAGCCGCGGUAAUACUGAGGAUUCAAGCGUUAUCCGGAGUUAUUGGGUUUAAAGGGUGUGUAGGGGGUCGGAUAAGUUAGAGGUGAAAUCCCGAGGCUCAACUUCGGAAUUGCCUCUGAUACUGUGCGGCUAGAGAGUAGUGGCGGUAGGCGGAAUGUAUGGUGUAGCGGUGAAAUGCUUAGAGAUCAUACAGAACACCGAUUGCGAAGGCAGCUUACCAAGCUACUUCUGACGUUGAGGCACGAAAGCGUGGGGAGCAAACAGGAUUAGAUACCCCAGUAGUC